GACGAACGCUGGCGGCGUGCUUAACACAUGCAAGUCGAACGGAAAGGCCCUGCUUUUGUGGGGUGCUCGAGUGGCGAACGGGUGAGUAACACGUGAGUAACCUGCCCUUGACUUUGGGAUAACUUCAGGAAACUGGGGCUAAUACCGGAUAGGAGCUCCUGCUGCAUGGUGGGGGUUGGAAAGUUUCGGCGGUUGGGGAUGGACUCGCGGCUUAUCAGCUUGUUGGUGGGGUAGUGGCUUACCAAGGCUUUGACGGGUAGCCGGCCUGAGAGGGUGACCGGCCACAUUGGGACUGAGAUACGGCCCAGACUACUACGGGAGGCAGCAGUGGGGAAUAUUGCACAAUGGGCGGAAGCCUGAUGCAGCAACGCCGCGUGCGGGAUGACGGCCUUCGGGUUGAAAACCGCUUUCGCCUGUGACGAAGCGUGAGUGACGGUAAUGGGUAAAGAAGCACCGGCUAACUACGUG
rnacentral:rRNA from 1 species